UACGUAGGGGGCAAGCGUUGUCCGGAAUCAUUGGGCGUAAAGAGCGCGUAGGCGGUCCGAUAAGUCGGCUGUGAAAGUCAGGGGCUCAACCCUUGAAAGCCGGCCGAUACUGUCGGACUAGAGUCCGGAAGAGGCAAGUGGAAUUCCCGGUGUAGCGGUGAAAUGCGCAGAUAUCGGGAGGAACACCGGUGGCGAAGGCGGCAUCCUGGACCGGUAUUGACGCUGAGGCGCGAAAGCUAGGGGAGCAAACGGGG
rnacentral:rRNA from 1 species